rnacentral:tRNA from 1 species
GGGAAUGUAGUUAAAAAUAACAUUUAAUUUGCAAUUAAAAGGUAUCAUAAUGAUCUUUCUCA